UUGAUUAUACAUCACCCUUAGCAAGUACACUGAUGAGACAAAGCUGGGAGAGAAGUGGUUGGCACGCCAAAAGGCUGUGCUGCCAUUCAGCAAGACCUGGACAGGAUGGUGAGCUGGGCAGAAACAAACCAGAUGAGGUGGAACAAAAGCAAGUGUAGAGUCUUGCACCUGGGAAGGAAUAACUGCAAAUAUCAGUAGAGCUUAGGAUGUGACCGGCUGGAGAGGAGCUCUGCAGAGAAGGACCUGGGGGUGCUGGUGGACGACAGGUCGGCCAUGAGCCAGCAGUGUGCCAUGCUGGCCAAGAAGACCAAUGGCAUCCUGGGGUGCUUUAAAAGGAGUGCCGCCAGCUGAGCAAGGGAGGUGAUCCCCGCUCUCUGCUCUGCCCUGGUCAGGCCUCACCUGCAGUACUGCAUCCAGUUCUGGGCUCCCUUCCUGGUACAGAAAUGACAAGGAUCUCCUGGAGAGAGUCCAACAGAAGGCCAGGAAGAUGAUAAAGGGCUUGGAGCAUCUCCUCAGUAUGGAAAGGCUGGGGGACCUGGGUCUGUUCAGCCUUGAGGAAAGAAGACUGAGAGCAGAUCUGAUUAAUGCUUAUGUAUUUGUUAAGUGUGGGAGUCCAAAGGACACAGAUCUCUUGUCAGCGAUCUGUGGGGACAGGAGAAGGGGAAAUGGCCACAAACUGGAGCACAGGAAGUUCUGCACCAAAAUGCAAAGGAUCUUCACGGUGAGGAUGAUGGAGCGCUGGAACAGGCUGCCCAGGGAGGCUGUGGAUUCAUCUUCUCUGGAGAUAUUCCAGAACCACCUGGACACCCACCUGUGCAGCAUGCUGUAGGGAGCCCGUUUUGCAGGGAGCUUGGACUCAAUGAUCACUGGGGGUCCCCUGCAACCCCAAUUCUGUGGUCCUGUGAUUUUAAUUCUUGCUUCUUGCAGCGAUGCAGUGUUUCAGAAGGGAGAAAAGCACGGCAGGCGUAAACUGGAUUUCUGUGGUUGGUGAAGCUGUGCUGAGAAGUGGGCUGACUGCUGCCCCUGGAAAUGAGUCUGCAGACUUUGCACCCAGAGGAAUGACUUUUCCCUGCAGGUUGGGCUUGUCUAAGGUGAUUUUUUUCACGAGGAAAGAUUUGAAAUGCUGUUUGCUAAUGGAAGAUGGAGAGAGGAAAAUCAAGUCGAAGGCACGCUGUGCAUAGCCAGCACAUAGCAUCUGCACCGCUCUCCCCCUGCACAAAGGAGGAGCAACUCAGCAAGCUUGGCCUGGGCCAGGAAGGCAGCAUACAAACAUCUGGACCAACCCCAACAGAGCUGCUUCUGCAGGAAUCCAUGUGGGUUUUUUAAUGAAGAACAAACUCGUGCAGCUUGUGAGUGAAUUCAUUCACGCAUGUUAAUCGUUGUUCUUCUCUACGUGGAGCUGCAAUUGCGAUGGAUGCUUGUGGUCUGAUGUGCAGCCCCCUCUGAUGUGCUUAGAUGAGCCAAGUUUGCAAGGCCUGGCUCUCAGUUGGUGAGUUGUGCCCAAGGUCAGAGAGGUGACUCUUGUCAGCUUUGAGAUGCAUCUUCCAGUUGCACACUGUGUUCUUCCUGUUGCGUUGAGCUCUUGAGCUCCAGCCCUAAGUGAGGAUGCAAGCGCUACCGCGGAAGGGAUGGUUGAGAUUGGAAGUGCAGGGCAAAGGGCUGGAGCCAGCAGGAGCAGGGAUGUGAUC